rnacentral:piRNA from 1 species
UGUUUGCAGCCGAUGUGGCAACAUAGC